CCUGGUGGCCCAGGCGGAGCAGCCAGACCCGAUCCCAUCCCGAACUCGGCCGUCAAACGCKCCAGCGCCCAUGGUACUGUGCCUCAAGGCCCGGGAGAGUCGGUCGCCGCCAGGC
rnacentral:rRNA from 1 species